rnacentral:rRNA from 1 species
AGCGAACGCUGGCGGCAGGCUUAACACAUGCAAGUCGAGCGGGCAUCCUUGUGGUGUCAGCGGCAGACGGGUGAGUAACGCGUGGGAACGUGCCCUUCGGCUCGGAAUAACUCAGGGAAACUUGUGCUAAUACCGGAUACGUGCGAGAGCAGAAAGGUUUAUCUGCCGAAGGAUCGGCCCGCGUCUGAUUAGCUAGUUGGUGAGGUUAUGGCUCACCAAGGCGACGAUCAGUAGCUGGUCUGAGAGGAUGAUCAGCCACACUGGGACUGAGACACGGCCCAGACUCCUACGGGAGGCAGCAGUGGGGAAUAUUGGACAAUGGGGGCAACCCUGAUCCAGCCAUGCCGCGUGAGUGAUGACGGCCUUAGGGUUGUAAAGCUCUUUUCUCCGGGACGAUAAUGACGGUACCGGAGGAAUAAGCCCCGGCUAACUUCGUG